UGUAUGUAGCUCAGUGGUAAAGCUCCUGCCUCAUACGUGUGAGGCACUGGGUUCCAGCCUCAGCACCAUAUAA
rnacentral:tRNA from 1 species